rfam:Coniochaeta ligniaria NRRL 30616 unplaced genomic scaffold CONLIGscaffold_6, whole genome shotgun sequence.
UCCUCCAUAGCUCAGUUGGCUAGAGCGUCUGACUGUUACUUAGCAAACAUCAGGAGGUCCACAGUUCAAACCUGUGUGGGGGAG